rnacentral:rRNA from 1 species
AACGAACGUUAGCGGCGCGCCUAAGACAUGCAAGUCGAGCGAGAAAGGGAUUCGUCCCCGGUAAAGCGGCGCACGGGUGAGUAACACGUAGGUAAUCAACCCUCGAGUGGUGGACAACUCUCCGAAAGGAGAGCUAAUACAGCAUGACGUGGCGGUCUUCCGGGAUCGUUUCCAAAGCGGGCCUCCUCAUGAAAGCUCGCGCUCGAGGAUGAGCCUGCGGCCCAUCAGCAAGUUGGAGGGGUAACGGCCCACCAAGGCAUAGACGGGUAGCUGGGCUUGGAGGAUGAACAGCCACACUGGAACUGGGACACGGUCCAGACUCCUACGGGAGGCAGCAGUCGGGAAUCUUCCGCAAUGGGCGAAAGCCUGACGGAGCGACGCCGCGUGAGUGAUGAAGGCCUUCGGGUUGUAAAGCUCUGUGGGGAGGGAAGAAUAAGUUCAAGCGAAUACCUUGAAUGAUGACGGUACCUCCUUAGCAAGCACCGGCUAACUCUGUGCCAGCCGCCGCCGUAA